GCUCAGAGUGAACGCUGGCGGUAGGCCUAACACAUGCAAGUCGAACGGCAGCACAGGAGAGCUUGCUCUCUGGGUGGCGAGUGGCGGACGGGUGAGGAAUACAUCGGAAUCUACUCUGUCGUGGGGGAUAACGUAGGGAAACUUACGCUAAUACCGCAUACGACCUACGGGUGAAAGCAGGGGACCUUCGGGCCUUGCGCGAUUGAAUGAGCCGAUGUCGGAUUAGCUAGUUGGCGGGGUAAAGGCCCACCAAGGCGACGAUCCGUAGCUGGUCUGAGAGGAUGAUCAGCCACACUGGAACUGAGACACGGUCCAGACUCCUACGGGAGGCAGCAGUGGGGAAUAUUGGACAAUGGGCGCAAGCCUGAUCCAGCCAUACCGCGUGGGUGAAGAAGGCCUUCGGGUUGUAAAGCCCUUUUGUUGGGAAAGAAAUCCAGCUGGCUAAUACCCGGUUGGGAUGACGGUACCCAAAGA
rnacentral:rRNA from 1 species